UACAGAGGCCUCAAGCGUUGUUCGGAUUCAUUGGGCGUAAAGGGUGCGUAGGUGGCGAGGCAAGUCAGGUGUGAAAUCCCAGGGCUCAACCCUGGAACUGCACUUGAUACUACUUUGCUUGAGUACUGGAGAGGAGAUUGGAAUUUACGGUGUAGCAGUGAAAUGCGUAGAUAUCGUAAGGAAGACCAGUGGCGAAGGCGAAUCUCUGGACAGUUACUGACACUGAGGCACGAAGGCCAGGGGAGCAAACGGG
rnacentral:rRNA from 1 species